rnacentral:rRNA from 1 species
AGUGAACGCUGGCGGUAGGCCUAGCACAUGCAAGUCGAACGGCAGCACAGUAAGAGCUUGCUCUUACGGGUGGCGAGUGGCGGACGGGUGAGGAAUACAUCGGAAUCUACUUUUUCGUGGGGGAUAACGUAGGGAAACUUACGCUAAUACCGCAUACGACCUACGGGUGAAAGCAGGGGAUCUUCGGACCUUGCGCGAUUGAAUGAGCCGAUGUCGGAUUAGCUAGUUGGCGGGGUAAAGGCCCACCAAGGCGACGAUCCGUAGCUGGUCUGAGAGGAUGAUCAGCCACACUGGAACUGAGACACGGUCCAGACUCCUACGGGGGGCAGCAGUGGGGAAUAUUGGACAAUGGGCGCAAGCCUGAUCCAGCCAUACCGCGUGGGUGAAGAAGGCCUUCGGGUUGUAAAGCCCUUUUGUUGGGAAAGAAAAGCAGCAGGUUAAUACCCCGCUGUUCUGACGGUACCCAAAGAAUAAGCACCGGCUAACUUCGUG